rnacentral:lncRNA from 1 species
AUGAAUUGAACUGGGAUGAUCAAGAUCUUCUCAUAUAUAGUCAGAUGUUUUCUUGGAAGCAUGGAUCAUCAAGAACCUCACUUCUAUGAUUUGUGUUUGCUUCCAAAUUAGCAGUUUUGAAGGUGGAGAGGAGUGAGAAAUGAAGGAAAAGCAACACAUUUAAAUACUCAAUCAUAUCCAAAACGUGUAAGCUUUUCAUUCAUUCUUUUCAGUUUCCAGUCCCCUUUUUCUUAUUUCUCAAAUUCACUUUUUUUAAGGUGAGGUUAAGAAAAGCACGUGCUCAUACGAGUAUAGCUUUCCGGCUAUUGAUUAUGCAUGGGAUGGGUGUAUUUACAAUUAAAAAAACUUUCACUCAUCUCCAUGCAUAAUCAACAGCUCAAAAGCUAGUGCUCGCUUAUAUGAGCACGGGCUUUCCUUAGCCUCUCCCUUUUAUUUGGGCUUCUUUUGAAGUGGGUUAGCUUCAGCCACAGGCUUUAUCUGCACUAGAUCAUAGUUUUCUUGCAGGGUGAAAAGCAACCAAAACCUUUUCAGCAUUUUGGAAGUCUUUGAGAAAGUGUACUCGCAGAAAGGAUAAAAGGUUGAUGUGGGAGAUGGAGCUUGCUUUCACUUCAGCAUCAAAGCAUGUGGGUGGGGUAAUAGAAGCUAAUUAUUUUAUAAUUAUGAUUUUUAACUUUUUCAGUUUUUUGUAGGUACAUGAUUAGACAAGGAAUCUAGAGGGACAGAUGAGGGAAAAUUUGAGGAAUCUCAAGGUUGAUGUUGCAGAUCAGGUCCAACACUUGGUCCCCUUUAUACUUAAUUUGAGUACUAAAGCUCAUGGCAUAUUGAAGAAUCAUUAAUCAAAUUAUGACAGAUCAUCCUCAGAGUACAUGCAGGUGACAUUAGUGAGCUGAAUUUACCUGGUUUUAGCAUAAUCAACUGUUUGAUUUUUCGAACUUCAUCCAGCUUAAGAAUGAUAUAGAUUUAACAUG